rnacentral:rRNA from 1 species
AACGAACGCUGGCGGCAGGCUUAACACAUGCAAGUCGAACGCUCGUAGCAAUACGGGAGUGGCGGACGGGUGAGUAACGCGUGGGAACGUGCCCUGAGGUACGGAAUAACUGAGGGAAACUUCAGCUAAUACCGUAUGAGCCCCGAGAGGGGAAAGAUUAUCGCCUUGGGAGCGGCCCGCGUCGGAUUAGCUAGUUGGUGGGGUAACGGCCUACCAAGGCUUCGAUCCGUAGCUGGUCUGAGAGGACGAUCAGCCACACUGGGACUGAGACACGGCCCAGACUCCUACGGGAGGCAGCAGUGGGGAAUCUUGCGCAAUGGGGGCAACCCUGACGCAGCCAUGCCGCGUGAACGAUGAAGGCCUUAGGGUUGUAAAGUUCUUUACCCGUGACGAUGAUGACGGUAACGGGGGAAUAAGCUCCGGCUAACUUCGUGCCAGCAGCCGCGGU